GACGAACGCUGGCGGCGUGCUUAACACAUGCAAGUCGAACGGAAAGGCCCUGCUUGCAGGGUACUCGAGUGGCGAACGGGUGAGUAACACGUGGGUGAUCUGCCCUGCACUUCGGGAUAAGCCUGGGAAACUGGGUCUAAUACCGGAUAGGAGCCAUUUUUAGUGUGAUGGUUGGAAAGUUUUUUCGGUGUAGGAUGAGCUCGCGGCCUAUCAGCUUGUUGGUGGGGUAAUGGCCUACCAAGGCGGCGACGGGUAGCCGGCCUGCGAGGGUGGACGGCCACAUUGGGACUGAGACACGGCCCAGACUCCUACGGGAGGCAGCAGUGGGGAAUAUUGCACAAUGGGCGCAAGCCUGAUGCAGCGACGCCGCGUGGGGGAUGACGGCCUUCGGGUUGUAAACUCCUUUCGCUAGGGACGAAGCUUUUUGUGACGGUACCUAGAUAAGAAGCACCGGCUAACUACGUG
rnacentral:rRNA from 1 species